GAAAGGGCAUUUGUCAUGGUGGAUGGGAUUCUGGGGGUUGCUUUUUCAGUGUUGCCUCUUCUUCUUUCUCAGAGAUGACCCAUAAGUUGGCCCAAAUGGACCGGUAGCCAAUGAGAAUGUCAGCCCUUCCAUAAGCCCGUCUCCGCAGAGCUACAGGCAUUUUCAGGCCUCAUCUAGCCUCCUCAUGGGAACAAUUCCAGAUAUUUGGACAUGAUCUUGAUGAGCCUUCGCCUUGCUUUUCUUCUGGAGAAUGUAAGUCACCAGCAGACAUGUACAUGACUUUUCAGUCUAUUUGCAAAACUCCAGGUGUUAGAGACAUUU
rnacentral:lncRNA from 1 species